rnacentral:rRNA from 1 species
AGUAACGGCGAGUGAAGCGGCAACAGCUCAAAUUUGAAAUCUGGCUCCUUCGGGGCCCGAGUUGUAAUUUGCAGAGGAUGCGUCGGGUACGGGUGCCUUCCGAGUUCCCUGGAACUGGACGCCAUAGAGGGUGAGAGCCCCGUCUGGUAGGACACCCAGCCCGUGUGACGCUCCCUCGACGAGUCGAGUUGUUUGGGA